rfam:Salmo salar isolate Sally breed double haploid chromosome ssa02, whole genome shotgun sequence.
AUCCCUGUGGCUCAAUUGGUAGAGCAUGGUGUUUGCAACGCCAGCAUGGUGUGUGCAACGCCAGGGUUGUGGGUUCGAUUCCCACGGGGGGCC